GCCGUAUUCAUAAAAAAUCCUUAAAUGAGGAAUGAUCAGCUUAUUAGCUAAUCCACUGUUUAGGCUUAAUAAGCCGUUGAUAAGAACCAUGAUUUAUAAACGUUUAUUAGGGGUUUCUUAACUAAUAAGCAGAUUAGACCCGUUAUGUUGGCAUCUUGGCACAUCAUAGACAAAAAUAUGGCUGAACAUUAAUUAAAAAAAAAAGUUUGACAGCAGCACUAGCGGUAAAUCAUAAAAUCCUGAACAAUACGAUGCACAAUUUUGACCAGUUUUCUGGGUUAUUAUAUAUUAAAAUAGCCUCUGCAUCACAAAAACAAAUAAAUAAUAUUGCACGGCCGGAAGUUUUACGAAACUCGUUUCAAUAUAUUGUGGAAUGAGGGAAAGAGGGCAGUUGCACAUUUCAAGUCAAGAAUUCUGCCUGCGCGCCAUCGCCACCGUAAUACCACGGAUUCCAACACUUUUUGUUCUGGUGGCGAAACACAAACGAUAUUGACACUAUUCAUAUCAAAUGAUCGGUGAAGAUAAAUCAGGUUGUGAGUAUUCCAUCAUCAGCUAUUUGUCCGGAGCUGGCUACACAAUCCGGAGGCCACACUCUUCUGGCAUCUAACCGGCCUGCACACCGCCAUCAAAUGAAGUUGGUUGUACUGAAAUAAAGAAAAAAUAUUAACUAGUUUAAUGAUUGUCAAAUGUAAUAAAAUUGUUUUAUUUAAGUGGGUUGUUUGAUUUCCCUAAAUUAACACAUGAAAUAUGUUGAUAUGUUAUAAUAAAAAUCUCAGUUAAAAACUCA